AAUUCAGAGAUGUUAAGACUAUCUAAUGUAGAGGUAAGAGUAUCGUAAUGAGAGGUAAGCAGGAGGCUAGAAGGCUAAUGUAGAGGUAAGAGUAUCUAAUGUAGUGGUAAGAGUAUCUAAUGUAGUAGUAAGAGGAGCUAGAGGAGCUAAUGUAGAGGUAAGAGUAUCUAAUGUAGAGGUAAGAGUAUCUAAUGUAGUGGUAAGAGUAUCUAAUGUAGUGGUAAGAAUCUAGUGUAGAGGUAAGAUAUCUAAUGUAUAGUCGUGUAUCUAUGUAGAGUAAGAGUUCUAAUGUAGAGGUAAGAGUAUCUAAUGUAGUA
rnacentral:lncRNA from 1 species